rnacentral:lncRNA from 1 species
UGUUUGAGUGCUGAGGAUUGAUGGGUCUAGGUUUCAGGUCGUUUGAGUAGUUUUUCAAUUAAGAGUGCGUGAGAUACUUUUCAUCCUCGUAGUGACUUGGUUCAUUAGGUAGAUUUAUUGUGGGAAGGGGGAAAUAUUCCCAGACAUUCCUUUUAUGCUUGGUUGGCUAUCAAAGAUAGGUUGAGGACUAGAGAUAGGUUGCGUAGGUGGAAUAGUUUGAUUCCGUCGUCGUGCAUUCUGUG